AUUGAACGCUGGCGGAAUGCUUUACACAUGCAAGUCGAACGGCAGCACGGGGCAACCUGGUGGCGAGUGGCGAACGGGUGAGUAAUACAUCGGAACGUGCCCAAUCGUGGGGGAUAACGUAGCGAAAGUUACGCUAAUACCGCAUACGAUCUACGGAUGAAAGCGGGGGAUCGCAAGACCUCGCGCGAAUGGAGCGGCCGAUGUCAGAUUAGGUAGUUGGUGGGGUAAAGGCUCACCAAGCCGACGAUCUGUAGCUGGUCUGAGAGGACGACCAGCCACACUGGGACUGAGACACGGCCCAGACUCCUACGGGAGGCAGCAGUGGGGAAUUUUGGACAAUGGGCGCAAGCCUGAUCCAGCCAUUCCGCGUGCAGGAUGAAGGCCUUCGGGUUGUAAACUGCUUUUGUACGGAACGAAACGGCGAGCUCUAAUACAGUUUGCUAAUGACGGUACCGGAAUAAGAAGCACCGGCUAACUACGUGCCAGCCGCCGCCGUAACAC
rnacentral:rRNA from 1 species